GUUUAAUAUUUUUUCCUAUUGUUGGAAAUGUGUUGUCCUCUUUUUAAAUGUUUUAUUUUUUUGAUAGUUUUCAUUUUGUGUAUUGUUAUAGUUUCUGUUGGGAUUGCUUGUAUUUCUGUUGUUAUCAUGGUAAAAAAACUCUUGAGAUAUUGUUUGUUUGGUGUCUAUUGAAAUUUCUGUAGCCAUCAUUUGCAUUGUAUCUGUUAGGGUGGUUAUAAUUUGGGUUAUGGUUAAAAUUUGGAUUUCUAAAAAAGUUAUUUUUGUAGUAAUGGAAUCUGCCCUGAAAGUUUGUGUUGUAAUGUCUUCUAUUGUAAUUGUGCCUUCUAUUAUUAGUAUCAUUUUUAUGUUGUUUGUUGUAGUUGUAACUUGUUCUGUUAUAAGGACACUGUUAUUAACUUUUAGUUUGGUUUCAUACGGUACAAGCUUGUUGCGAAAGAGAUUUACCCAGACACAGUUUAAACCUGUUUUUGCAGCCGAAAUUCUUGCUUCAAAAUGGUGAGAUAGGGAAAGACGCGGAGUAAAAAUAACACCCAGGUAUUUGUACCUAUUCACCACUUGGAUUUUGUUACCUUUAUAAAACCAUUUUUCUGAGACUGCUGGUUUACCCGCAUUGCAGAAGAUCAUAAUUUUUGACUUUUUUAAAUUUACAGAUAAGUUCCAAAGGUCACAAAAGCACUCAAAAAUUUGCAUAUUAUUUUGCAAACUAGCCGGACUCUCAGCAAUUAGGACUAUAUCAUCUGCAUAUAAUAAUAUUUUUAUUUUGGUAUUACCAACAAGAAUUCCUCCUUCUAGUAGAUUAGCAAUAUCGUCCACAAAAAGGGCAAAUUACAUGGGGCUAAGCAAACACCCUUGUCUUACUCCAUUCUCUAUUCUGAAGUAUUUAGAAAUUACUUCCGAGGUCCGAACCGCUGAAGCUCCCGAGGCAUAAAAGCAUUUAACUAUACCCACAAACUUAGACAAAAUACCCAUGUUUAAGAGCUUUAGGAAUAAUGAUGAAUGAUUGAUUGAGUCAAAAGCUGCCUUUAAGUCUAUGAAAAAGCAAUACACUUUCCUUUGCUUUUCUGAGAGCUUCAGUUGCAUUAGGUUAGACAGAAGAAAGAUGUUAUCGAUUGCAGAAUAAUAUUUUCUGAACCCAGCCUGAAAUUUGCUAAGCAGAUCAUUCUUUUUGACAUACUUUUCUAAACGCCGGUUUAACAUGGAAAAAAUAGUAGUAAUGUAGUAUCAUUUUUAUGUUGUUUGUUGUAGUUGUAACUUGUUCUGUUAGUAGUAGGUCCAUUGUUCACAGAUGGGUAAUUAAAAUUUGGGAAGCUGUUGUUAGCCAAUGAUAUGCCUCUGUCAUUCAUUGUAAUUUAAACUUUUUUAAUCUUGUCAAAAUUAUGUUGAUAACAUUUUAUGUUAUCAGUGUACCCAUUAAAGUUAAAUAUUUUGGAUGAAUUGCCUUAAUUAAAUCCGUAACAUUUGUACAUUCAUUUGUUUCUCCUAAUAAUUUCAAUAAUUUUAGUUUAUAAUCUCUGUAUUGUCCGAGUGGAGUGUUCUCAUCCUGAGGAGCAAACAACAACUGUGCCUUUGUUUGGAAAUACUGUUUCUUGGACGUGCCAUGUGCAAUCUAUCUCUAAUGUAAGAAAUUGGCAGUCAUUUCAUCGCUUUUUCUGUGCACUAAAAUAGCUGAAAAAAUUUAAAUUUGUUUCUAUUUCUUAGUGCAAUUGGUUUUAGUUCUGUUAGAAAGUUUAUUAUUGCUGCAGGCUGGUAUAGCUGGAAGUUUGGUAAUAAUUUUAUUUUUUCUACUAGCAUAGGAGAAAUACUAUUUUUAGAAAACGAUUUGUGUAUUGUUUGAGGUAUUUCGAUGAAGUGAGAUGAGCUUUCCGAAGAGCUCUCGUCCUCGGAAUUAUGUAGAAUGCUAAAAUCCGGAUAUAUGUGUUUGUUUGGCUGAUUUUGGAGGAAUGAGGAUUGAUGAAAGAAUGAAGGAGUUGGUGUUUUUUGGGUGUUUCGUCUGGGUCUUGUGGAAGGUGUGUUUUUGGUUCCAUCUCCUUGGUGCUUUUUUUGUUAUGAGGUGAAAUGUUGGGGGUUUUAUAUGUUGUUGGUGUCAAUGCUUGCUUAGGUAGAGGACGUUCCCGGGGUCAUAGCAUUAGAUCCCGGUUCGCCUUCAAGUGACUCAAUUCUGGCUUUAGUUGAGUAUUAUUCUCCUUCAGGAUAGCAUUUUUGUCCUCAAGCUCGAAAACGAGUUUUCGGAGCAGUUCAACUUCAGUAAGAAGGGACUCGUUAGGUACCUCUGACCGCCGAGAGCCAGUGUUGAGAAAAGAGUCUGGCACUCGUCAAGGUGCAGAAUAAUGGGAUCUACACUCGUUGCAGAAUACAUGAUUGUGGAGAACACAGUCAAGGGGGGGGCAUGGGAUUAUAAUGGUCCUGGGUAUAGACAAUGUUUCAGCAGAGAUGGUAAUAAAAAGAGAACAUAUACUCAACUAUAGUUUUUCGAAAAGGGAAGGUGGAGAGGAAGAUACAAAAAGGGAGAAAUUCCACUCCUCCACCCCAUCCAUUCAAAAAGAGCAAGCCUCUGUAGUGAUAACACCACCUAUGGAGACCAUUUCCGUAGAGGUAAUGUUGAGAUGGAGAUUGAGCAGGUCAUUCCGGAGACCCAGACACUUCCUCUUCAUCCAGAAGCAAUGAUGCUCAGUGAGGAAGAGCUAUUGGGUGAGGAGACACUUCUUCCUCCCCCAAAAGAAUAAUACAUGGAGAAAAUGAGAAUGCUCCAGGUGAACAUCCAUCAUGCAAAAGCUGCCUCAGCAGUAAUAGCUAGGAUGUUCACAGCACAACACCUAUAGGCAAUUCUCAGCCUGGAACCAUGGGAAAGGACAAAUCAGAGAAUUCGUAUCCAGACCUCAUCAAAAUAGAGGUAAUGGAUGGGAUAAAACUAGUGGCAGUGAUAACAUUAACUACUUCUCAGGAGAAGAGGACACCCUCCCCCAGAAGAACUGCAGAGAUUGGAUGACUACUGCCGCAAGAAGAAUCUCCCCUUACUCACAGGAUGUUAUGUUAACACACACCAAGUCUGGAGAAUCAAUAACAACUACAAAUGAGGGGCGUUCUGCGCAAUCCGCCUUCUUCUGUUGACGGAUCAUGGGGAGGGGGCAUGGAUGAAGGAGGCUGAGUCAAACAGUUACGGACCUGUUCCAGUUAUUCAAUCUUUCCCUAUUUAUAUCUCACGGGCUUAGGAGCUUGGAAUCCUCGGCACUUCAAACCUUAGUAGAGUUAGGAGAAAUAGGGGUUGGGUUAGAGCGAGCCGCACGGGAGGAGGCUUUGCCUUUGGGGCUUUCCUUGCUUGCAGGACAUGAACCAGGCGACGUGUUCUCUCACUAUUCACUGGCGGGGGUGACUGGAGUGGAGGCGGCCAGAAGGAUGCAUUUAAUCGUGGAAAUACUGUUACGAGCCACCCACCCCUGGUUAUGGCGGUACGGUGUAGACAGUGUACCUUGGAUCGAUGAGGUCACUCGAAGGCGGACUCGGGUAGAAUUGACAUCGACGGACUAUCUGCUGGUCAGUGAAUCCCGAGAUUACUACGCUGUAGUGAGCGAAAAGGAGCUAUGGAGGUGUCGGGGUCGCCGCCCAUCGUCUGCGCCGCAAUCUCUGGUGUCCCGCAGGACCCCUUCCUGUGUGAGUGUUGCCUUCUUCGGGGACACCGAGGUAAUGCGACAGCGGUGCCAGGGGAUCGUCCACGGGGAUGACUCCCCACUGUGGCUGUGGAAUGAAGAGAGGGACACCUGGACCUACAGCCUGGCGCAACCUGACAAGGUGCUACUCAAGUGCCUAGACGGGAGAUCCGAGGAGCAGAACCUUCAGGGCGCAGGAGUAUUGGAGCUCCCAGAGGGUUGUUCAGCUGAGACCUCUGACCGGCUACUACCACUGAGAUGUUAAGUGUUAUUCACAGAAUAACAUACUUGAAAUCGUCCUAAAAUUUGACCUACCUAGCUACUUAAAUGAGAUCGAUGGUGCCAG